CUCCAGACUCCUACGGGAGGCAGCAGUGGGGGAUAUUGCACAAUGGGGGGAACCCUGAUGCAGCGACGCCGCGUGGGUGAAGGAGCGUUUCGGCGCGUAAAGCCCUAUCGGCAGGGAAGAAGGAGGACGGUACCUGACUAAGAAGCCCCGGCUAACUACGUGCCAGCAGCCGCGGUAAUACGUAGGGGGCAAGCGUUAUCCGGAUUUACUGGGUGUAAAGGGGGCGCAGACGGCAGCGCAAGCCAGGAGUGAAAGCCCGGGGCUCAACCCUGGGACUGCUCUGGAAACUGUAAAGCUGGAGUGCGGGAGGGGCAGGCGGAAUUCCUGGUGUAGCGGUGAAAUGCGUAGAUAUCAGGAGGAACACCGGCGGCGAAGGCGGCCUGCUGGACCGUAACUGACGUUGAGGCUCGAAAGCGUGGGGAGCAAACAGGAUUAGAUACCCCUGUAGC
rnacentral:rRNA from 1 species